GAAAAGAAUCAAGCUGGAGGUAUGGAACGACACGCCUUAACACUCUAUCUUGCCUUAGCUAAACGCGGACAUGACCUUCACAUCUUCACAACUUCUUCAUCCGCGAGUAUUCCAAGUACCAUGAGUAAUCUCCAUUUUCACAUCUCAAGGCCUAUAGGUUCAGGAUAUCUAAAUCAAGUUGUUGCUUGGAAGCAAUUUUUAGA
rnacentral:misc_RNA from 1 species